GGAGGCGGGAGUGAAGUCUCGCGAGAAGAGGUGGUUUCGUAGCGGAGCCCUCUGGCUGAGUGUCUGAGGAUCCGCCGCCGGAUCCGCGGACGGUUUACUGAGGCCGUUAGUACCCCUGCCGAGACUCACGUCGCCGUCAUGUCCCGCUACCUGCGCCCCCCCAACACAUCUCUGUUCGUAAGGAACGUGGCCGACGAUACCAGGUCCGAAGAUUUACGAAGAGAAUUUGGUCGUUAUGGUCCUAUAGUUGAUGUGUAUGUUCCACUUGAUUUCUACACGCGCCGUCCAAGAGGAUUUGCUUAUGUUCAAUAUCCUUUCUUCAGAUGGCUGAUUAGUGAGGGGUGUUGAAGUUUGAAAUUCAAGUUUAUGUAAGAGAGAAUGUAAAGCUGUACAGUUAUGGCGACCCCAAAGAGAAAGCAUGAAAGAACCUUUAGAGUAGAGUUCAACACUUAAGGCAAGUAGACAAGCCAAAGACCUCUUAAGGAUCAGGCUUGAAGAGAAGGGAGAGUUUGGGAAAAGAAAAAAUAAAGAAAAGCUGGAAGAAGGACAAGCCUAAUGGGAGACAAAGCCUCGCUUUAUCUACAAAAGGGGGAAAAGGUUGUUUUUCAAAGUUAAAGAUAAAGCCAUCUGUCAUAUUUGGCCAAGCAUCUCAUGACAAGUCCUUCUGACAAGCACUUAAAGAGUUAAAGGUCAAGAUGAAGUUGAAUGAUGGCCAAGAUUAAAGGAGUCAUACCUGAUGUAUCCUACAGAAUAACUAUUUUCCUUUUUGUUUUUUUUAAUGUUUUGUAAGCAGUUAAUUUUCAAAACUAUUCUGGUUUGGUCUAGUGACAAAACCUGUAACUUAAUUUAUGUGGGCCUUUGAUGUUGUGAUUGUGGUCUUGUAUAAAUGCACUCUCUCUUAGCUUGUCAAGUUAAAGUGUACCAGGAUAUAAUGUUGUUAAGCUUAAACUCAGCAUAUUUCUGUUUUGGACCAGAUGGUCAGAUCCCAUAGAUAGUAGGCAGUGCUCUUUGGAGUAGCAUGAGGUUCUGGGGUCAAGCUGACUCCACAGAGCCUUGCUUAAAGUGGGGACAGGUGCUAGCACUGGGAACUACUUAGGAACAACUCUGGUGGUCUUGUAAGGUCAAAUCCACUGGAGAUACUACCUGUUUAUAGAUUUUAAAGUGGCUGUUGGGGGGGUGGCCACACACAUACUCCAGACUUCUAAACUUAGCUCUGUGAAGCCUGCUGGUCCUGCACUGCUUUAGCACAUACCAUUAGUUUGCCCUGAGUGGAUUGCAGAAGGCCUUAUCCCUUGUAUGGGUACCUAAUCAGGAUCUACGGGAAGUCAUUUCCUGACCCAGAGUUUGAGGUGACAUCUUCAGUGAGACAGCAAAGGUUUGGGCUGUUGGCGUCGGCCUAGGAAAAAUUGUUACUGCUUAAAUUUAGUGGGUCUCUUGAAACUUAGCAGGGGUCCUAGUGAGACUUAGGGAGAAUGUUGAAAGCUGCUACUUCAGCAAAGCUAGUUAUCAAGGACAGUUGGGGGAAUUGGUUGCAAAGCUGUUUCAGAGAGGAUAAGAGCAAUAGAUGGCUUGGUUUAAAAAAAAAAAAAAAGCGAUGCUUUCUGGCUUACAAUGUUGACCUGAUUUUACUGGUUUGGGGUGGCCUGGGAAUCAAGAUCAACAGUAGUUUGACUCAAGAGUAUGUGAUAGUUGGGCCAGAAGAGAGUCGUCAUCUAAAGGCGAUCUAUACUUCUUACAUAUAUAUAGUCUUUCUAUGGUCUUAAAAUAGUUAAAAAGAAGUAGGUCUCAGGAUUUUGCAAAGAUCCCGAGUACAAACUUCUCCAUAACUAGCAUCUGAGUGAUAUUUGACCCUGUUCCCAAUUAGCCUUCUCUUGACAUGUAUAGAACUUUGCCAUGGUUCAUCCAGCCCAGGAUUCUGUUUUUGAGGGUAGAUCCAGAGAAUGAGUUAAUCUCAAUAGUUUUUAUACCUUUUAGUUUUAAUCCUCUAAAAAGUAAAUUAUAUUUUGCCUCUUGGCAUAGUAAGUAGUAUACCCAUUAAGUGAACUUUUUCUUUAAUAUUUUAGAGCCCAACUACAUUAACCUUGAGGGGUGUUCAGUUUAUAGCACUCAAGGUUCUAAACUCCCUAUCAGCCUUGGCCUUUUCAUGUUGAAAGCCCCAUGAUUUAGGACUUGGGGAAACCUGUCUUUCAUUAACAUACACAUAAUAGCUUCAGGAAGAGAGAGCUAGGAGCUUGCUGUGGUCCCUAAUUCCUUUCAAAACAAAAGUAGGAAAUCUGGUGAGGCAGACCUUUUAAUAUCUGGAAUAAACAGUAGUAUCAGUCUUAAAUGGAGUGUGUCUCUUCAGGGGUGUUGUUUAAUCAGCUCAAGAUCGGCACUCUUGUCUCUAAAAUUUGAGAAAUAUAAAUGGACAAGUUAGAAGAGUGAUUUUUAGGAUAGAAUGAAAAUCUACACCCAGACUUAACCCAGUCCCCUUUCCAAAGCUUUUAUAUCAAACACUGCUCUGAAUAUUUGCUUGGCUUCCAUCAGAAUGGUGGAUUUAGGAAAGGAGCUAAAUUUGGGCAGAGUAACUUUGUAAAGCCAAGAGUUCUCAUAGUAUUACGCUGACCAUGAAGGAAGAGGGCAGGCAAGGCAACAGCCUCUCCAAUCAAAAACCAGUACCAGCAGUUCCUUUGUCAGGUUUAUAAAUGUUAUCUUGAAAUUCUCAAGUUGAAAACGAGUCCCAGACCCACUUCUUUGCAGGGAGCUGAAUGUUUAGUAUUAGGAUAGGGCUUUCCAGUCCAGGAAUAUUUAGAAAUGGUCUGUUAUUUCUUGACCGCAUGCUUUUAUAGUCUGUGCAUGGGUGUAAUACGCUUUUGGUAUAGUGAUAUCUUCAGUAUUUAUUGCUUGAUUCUAUCUUGAUAUCCUCAAGUGGAUAGCAUACCAGUCUUCCCCGUAUGGUAAAAGGAAGACAAGUACAUAAAAUAAAAGUGUUAGAUAUAUCGGAGAAAAACAGCAAAAUAAAUUUGAAGUUAAUGCUUUAUCUCUUGUAAGGUAAGGUAUAUUCUGCUUGCUUACACAAGAACUAUUGGCAUUUUCUUUUUUUCCUUUGAAACAAAAAUAUGAGAAACAGUUUUGGUUUUAUUUUAAGAAAUUUUUGUUUUAGUAUACAACAUAGAACUGACAUGUUUUUCUUUUUUGUUUUGUAAAACUUAAAACUCAGGAAAAUUUUUUGAUAGGAUUACUUGGUAGUUCAGCUAUAACAGAUCUUAUUUUAAUAAUUUUAUAAUAUGUAAUCACAUGUGUUUUCAAAUGUAUGCUGAGGAAAUCACAAGUGAUUUAAUGCCGUGAAGUGUCUAUAGCUGAAUCAACCAACCUAAGUAAGUGAGGUCUGGAUGAUUUUCUAGAAUAAUACUGAGAGACUGUGAAUUGUUCCAGACUUACCAACUGAAUGUUCAUUCAUUAUCAAAGUAUGCAAAACUUCCCAAGCCCCUUAACAUUUAGCACAUUUGAGGAUGUCCGUGAUGCCGAAGACGCUUUACAUAAUUUGGACAGAAAAUGGAUUUGUGGACGCCAAAUUGAAAUACAGUUUGCACAGGGGGAUCGGAAGACUCCAAAUCAAAUGAAAGCCAAGGAGGGGAGGAAUGUAUACAGCUCUUCACGCUAUGAUGAUUAUGACAGAUACAGACGUUCUAGAAGCCGGAGUUAUGAAAGAAGAAGAUCAAGAAGCCGGUCCUUUGAUUACAACUAUAGAAGAUCUUAUAGUCCUAGAAA